UUCCGUAGGUGAACCUGCGGAAGGAUCAUUAAAGUUUGCUUAAUUGCAUUACACAUGUUUUUUUAGAGAACUUGCUUGCAAGAACACUAAUAAUUUACUUAGUCAACAAAUAAAAAUAUCAAAACUUUCAACAACGGAUCUCUUGGUUCUCGCAUCGAUGAAGAACGCAGCGAAAUGCGAUACGUAAUAUGAAUUGCAGAUUUUCGUGAAUCAUCGAAUCUUUGAACGCACAUUGCGCCCUGUGGUAUUCCACAGGGCAUGCCUGUUUGAGCGUCAUUUCUCCCUCAAACCUCUGGUUUGGCGUUGAGUGAUACUCGGUUUACUUGAAAAACAUGAAAAGCAUAACUAUUAGGUUUUACCAACUCGUUAUACUAAUCUACAAGUUUGACCUCAAAUCAGGUAGGACUACCCGCUGAACUUAAGCAUAUCAAUAAGCGG
rnacentral:rRNA from 1 species